rnacentral:lncRNA from 1 species
CUCUGCUUAACCCUCCUGUGCCGGGCUCACGAACAGGACGCAGCCAGCUUCUUGGAACCUUGGGCAUGGUGGAACCUUGGGCACAGACUGCUAGAAAACGGAACUGACCAGGAGAUGCCUGCCACACACGGCCUUUGUCUUUCUGAGAGAACUGAUGGGAGGCCGCACAAGCUACUCAGGAAGCUGAGGAUGGAACCCGGGACCUUUCCCUUCGUGGGCUGGGCAAGUGCCUUCCUCAGCUUCUGGGAUUUUCUCCAGACAGUGAAGCCCCAGGUGAAGAGAGAACUCGCUGGGGCUCCCUGAGAUUUAUGGUGCGUCUGUGAUGAAAGGCUACCCCGGCCGGGCACCUCACCUGUGUGGGUGUUCACAUGGUUCCUAAGAAGAGUGACAGUCCGGAAGGCCUUCAGGCACAGGUGACACAGGUGUGGCCUCUCAUUGCUGUGAAUUUUGAUGUGACGAUUGAAAGUUGAGAGCUUGGAGGAAGUGAACGGGCAGGUGUCACACUGAAAGCUCUGAGGCUUUCCUGUAGAGAGAAGACACACACCAGUGUAGCUGGAAAGAUCGUCCCUUGAGCAGCCCCUCAGAGGCCGACGUGACUUCCUUAGCUUAGUGCUGUUGAGGAUUAUGAGAUGUCUCAAAACCUCGGGACACUCUGUUUUUGAUGAAGAACACCUUGUUAAGAAGUACCCAGCUUCUGUUUCCUGCCACAGAACUGUCCAGGUCCCUAACCCACCCUCUCUGUUGUUAACAAUAGACAACAGUGCCCUCCCACCCCCCACAACACCGGGAACUGCAGUUCCAGGGGGGUCUGAUGCCCUCUUCUGGCCACUAUGGGAACUGCACACAGGUUGUGCACAGAAAUACAUACAUUCUUUUGUUUGUUUGUUUGUUUUUGUUUUUCCAGACAGCCAAAGCUACAGAGAGAAAUUCUGUCUUGAAAAUCAAGAAACAAACAAACAAACCAAUCAGUCUUAAUAAACUGUCAUUUACAGUGUGGUAUAGAUCAAGGAAGUCAGAAGACAAAGUCUUCUCCAAGCAGGGAGUCCCAGAAGCAAGUCUCCCAUAAACAUGGACCCAAGUGGGUACCCAAGUUCUCUGUUGUUGUUAAAAUGAAGACCCCCCAGCCCCCAAUGCCUUCCCAGAAUCCUCCACCCAAGCCAGGGGAGCUCUGGGAAACUGGCAUGAAGCUGAACAAAGCCACAGCCCACAGCCACAAGUGACUAUUUAAAUUUGUAUC